AAUUNCGGCCUUAGCGCGGUGGUCCCACCUGACCCCAUGCCGAACUCAGAAGUGAAACGCCGUAGCGCCGAUGGUAGUGUGGGGUCUCCCCAUGCGAGAGUAGGGAACUGCCAGGC
rnacentral:rRNA from 1 species